UCCGCCCUGCCUAACAUCAUCAUAGAAAGGAUUUGCGAGUGUUUGAUACUCGGCACAAACCAUGCGGAGGAUAGGUAGAGUAUUCAUUCAAGCAUAUGCCUUGUGUUGCUCGGUCAAAUUGGACCGGUCAGGCAAGUCACCGGCCGGCCGGCUACUGAUUCCACAUGAGAUUUGACGAUGAUACUGGUGAACUCAUACAAGUGCAUCUGAGGUACAUGAGAUCGUAUAUAAAAUAAUUUACGUAAAAAAAGAGUUUAUUUAUGAUGGCUGAUCAGAAUCUCAUUGCAACUAGCAGCAAAUCCAAACAAAACUAAUUAAGUUGGCAUUAAUUGGUGUAUGGUGCUGUAAGGAUCUUAUUAUUAUAAAUUUAUACAGUCAUGUAGAAUCCUGGAGACCAAACAGGCCAGCAACUCCCUUACCCUCUUACCUCUCUUUCUCUCAAGAUUUAUAUUUUAGUGAGAAGACACCAAAAUAGCCAGCCCAUUGGUCUUGAAUGUCGAACUUGUGUUGAGGAAUCAGGAGACAGGUCAAGGAAGAUGAAAACUGUGACUCAAUAUACAGAUCAGUGCUAAAUGGCUGGUUUUAUACAGACGCCAUUCAAGAUCUCUUGGGGAGAGCUGAUCAUGAGUGUAGUAGCGGCAAGGACAGGGGAGAGUGCAAGAAAAUAGGAGAUGGAGGGUCAGAAGAGACUCUUUAUGAGAAUGAGGACUCCAUAUACACUCAAUCUAGUCCUGAGACCAUAGGUAUUAGUUGGCUAGGGUAUGGUCUCAGGCUCUCAGCCAUUGAACAUUCGAAUCUGCAGAAUUAGCAAGUCUAUUUCACUGUACCCUUUUUGUUGAUCCAUCACCAAAUCUCUUUCCAUAGUGAAUGAUUUUCCAAAUUGGUUCACCUGUUGUUUUUUGGAAUUGAGGCGAGGGUAAUAAUGGUCUAAAAUAUGCGCAAGCCAUCUGAGGAUUAAAUUUGGAAUUUAUUUAAGGAAAAAAAACAGAGGAUGAUGAAAAUCAUGAACUUAGAAUUCCAAGAUCGAGAUUAAUUUCUAA